UGAAAGGGAAGCGCUUGCAACCAGACCUGCCUGCAGUUGCUCAUCCGGGCUUUUGCCCGGUGCACUCUUCUGCUGUCAGGCCAGCAUCAGUUCGGGCGGUCGGAUAAAGGCUUCGGGAAUGUAGCUCCUCUCGAGGAGUGUUAUAGCCCGUUGCGAAAUGCGGCCAGCCUGAACUGAGGUCCGCGCUUCGGCUAGGAUGCUGGCGUAAUGGUUGUAAGCGGCCCGUCUUGAAACACGGACCAAGGAGUCUAACAUCUGUGCGAGUGUUUGGGUGUCAAACCCGUACGCGUAAUGAAAGUGAACGGAGGCGGGAACCCCUCGGGGUGCACCGUCGACCGAUCCUGAUGUCUUCGGAUGGAUUUGAGUAAGAGCAUAGCUGUUGGGACCCGAAAGAUGGUGAACUAUGCCUGAAUAGGGUGAAGCCAGAGGAAACUCUGGUGGAGGCUCGCAGCGGUUCUGACGUGCAAAUCGAUCGUCAAAUUUGGGCAUAGGGGCGAAAGACUAAUCGAACUAUCUAGUAGCUGGUUCCUGCCGAAGUUUCCCUCAGGAUAGCAGUAACGUUUUCAGUUUUAUGAGGUAAAGCGAAUGAUUAGAGGCCUGGGGGUUGAAACAACCUUCACCUAUUCUCAAACUUUAAAUAUGUAAGAAGUCCUUGUUGCUUAGUUGAACGUGGACAUUUGAAUGUAUCGUUACUAGUGGGCCAUUUUUGGUAAGCAGAACUGGCGAUGCGGGAUGAACCGAACGCGGAGUUAAGGUGCCGGAAUGCACGCUCAUCAGACACCACAAAAGGUGUUGGUUCAUCUAG
rnacentral:rRNA from 1 species